rnacentral:lncRNA from 1 species
GCUGGUUCUUGUCUUCCAAGAAAAGCUUUACAGUCGGCCUGCAGAAUUUGUCCCACCACCGAUCCUCUCGACAGUUAGCUUGUUGCAAAAGAGGUGGUUUGGUCAUUCACACUGCUUAAGAAUUCUAAUGUCAUCAUGCCAUACUAAGAUAGCCACGCUCCAGCAUGUUCAAUAGUCUUGAAUUUUUAGUCUGCUGCUUUUAGAUCUUUUGUGCAUAUGAAUUUGAUACGACGGCGCAGGUAGAUCUAUUCGGGCCUUGGUCAUCUGAAUCGAAGAGGAUCGAAGGUGACCAUGGGUUGACUAUUUUAUUGAGGAU